rnacentral:misc_RNA from 1 species
GUGAAUCAUCAAAUCUUUGAACGCAAAUUGCACUCUCUGGUAUUCCGGGGGGUAUGCCUGUUUGAGGGUUAGUUUGUUACAAACGUAAAAAUAAAUUUUUGGGGAUGUGGGUUUUCCAAAAGGUAUUUUUUUUGUAAUCUAAAAUUUAUCAUAACAAUUGGUGUUAUUGGAAAAGUUUAAUUUUGAUUCAUUUACAAU